rnacentral:piRNA from 1 species
GGGGUCAUUAAAGGAAACUGAACAUUGA